UAUGGAACAAAAACAUGUUAAAACAUGUUUUAAUGUAUUAUCUUAGAACAUUUCGUUAUUGAUGUAGUUAUAUGAAACGCAUCUAUGCUCGGGCUGUGUCGUAUUUGUCUGCACUGUCGAAAGCUGAUGUGCAUGUACGUAGACCAUGAAUCAACCCUUAGCAGAACGUUUUUUGUAUUGAACAUAUAACAAUUGUAUUUUCUAAAAAAAAUAUUGAAACCGUUCAUUCGUAGACCAAACGCUGUAACACUAUAAAUAUAAAUGCAACAAUCGUACGUACAAUAACAUCAGUCUACGCCCCUAUAAAUACUAAAUAGUGUGUAAUGUCUCUAUCUCCUCUCUCUCUUUGUGUCUCUCUCUUGUGCAGAUGUUGGCAGAACCCAAUAGAAACAGAUGCUACUCCUUUAUUUACCGCACGUAGUUUAAUUUUAGCCACAGUUCAUUCUAUUUUGUCCUCUCAAGUUACUUUUCUCUCUCAUUUUAUCAUAUUGAUUUACUUACUUCCCGUUAAAACGCUUUGAUGAGACUUGGACUGUAACUGAAGUAUAAGUAUAUAUUUACAUUGUUCAAGGCAGUGAAUUUGUAGUGUAGAAGCCAGCCAGUGGGGAAGGGGGUGGGGGUCUUCUUGCCAGCUUUGAAGAAGUUGUUGACCUAAAUUGGGCCCAAUAUUAAAGAACAAUACAUAGACCAUCUCCAAUGGAGUAUCCAUGAGGAUUCUAUAUGAUGGUUCUAAGUAAAUAAAUGUUGAAAAUUAAAUCAAAAUGAGAAAAAAUAGAUAUAUAUGGUUCUAAAAAUGAAAGUUCUAAAAAUGAAAGUUUUAGAACCAAUUCUAAAUAAUAUGUGUCACUUUGUGAUAGGGUAGUAUUUAAAGGGGAAAAAAAUUAAAUCCAAUUGUUCUUUUUCUCUCUCUUUCGCGGAUUGAAAGCAACUCUUUUUUUUUUGUAGACGAAACAGAGAUCUUCUUUCACAAUUUGGCGACUCAGCUGUCAAUCCUCUCCAUCCUCUAUCUACUAUGCUUCUUUCAAUCAAGAUAACAUGAAAGAGUAAUCAAAACUUGACGAUGUAGGGAUCGCGACCGAGCAUGCGGAGGAUGGAGAUCUCGCAGAGAGUGGUGGGAGGAACGCCUUCUUCGUCUUCGUGGAGACGAGUCUUCUUCAAAGCGACGAUGAGACCCGUAGCUUUCUCUCUCGCUCUGUACACUUUGCCGUAAGUGCCUCCCCCCUACUUUCUCUAGCUUCUCGAAGACUUCCAUGGCCGACACUUUUCCGUAAGAUCGGUUUUAUAGAUAGAAACCGAUUUUGUAUAAAAGAAGACUCUGUUAUGAAAGAGGCAAGUUUUUAUCAUUUAAAAGAUCAAACUUUUUGUUGGCUAUGUUUAUUGUAUGGUGUUGUGAUUGAUUCUUUAUCAGGCUUGUUGUAUGAUUACUCCCCAUAUCGUCAAGUUUCAAGAAUCCAUGGUUUUGUGAUUGAUUUUUUAUGGUGUUGGUGUAUUCUGCCAUCAAGUUUCAAAACUUGAGCGUGCUCUUAAAUUUUUUGAGGUAACUUCUCCCUACCAUGUUUGGUUCGAGUUUGAGAAACUAUUCGGGCUUACAGUACCACUGCAAGAGGUAAGCUACUUUAGGAGAGGAUUAUGGUCAGAAUAAAAGGUAGUGAAUCACGACCAAGUAAUAUAUAGAAAGUUCUACUUGCAGAGAGUUCAUGGAAUCAAUCGGAGUACGCAUCAGAGCUAUGAUCAAUUCGCAAAUCACCUUCAAAGUUGGCCCAAAAUCAUUUAAAUCUGCAGAAACUGGAGAAACUGUUCUAUUGCUGCAUUGUUAGGACUCCGUUUGACAAGAUAAAUUAAUUUUUAUUGAGUUGAUAUUUGGUAUAGAUAAUUAUGAAAUAUCCGACUUCAUAAUCAACGGUGAGAUUUUGAAGUGGACGGUUGGAUUAGUAGUUAUUAAUGUCUUUCUGAAUCAGUUUGAUGCACUGUAAAACAGAGUGAUAUGUUUGAUGAAUUGUCUUGUUUGGUUGGAAAAUGAGCUCGGACAGAGUGAUAUGUUUGAUGUCUUGUUCAAUAAUUAUAAGUUUUUUUAUUAUAGAAUGAGAUGCAAGGAAUCUAUUAUUACAA